GAUCCUGGCUCAGGAUGAACGCUAGCUACAGGCUUAACACAUGCAAGUCGAGGGGCAGCAUGGUCUUAGCUUGCUAAGGCCGAUGGCACCGGGGGGGGGGGGGGGGGCCACGGGUGAGUAACACGUAUCCAACCUGCCGUCUACUCUUGGACAGCCUUCUGAAAGGAAGAUUAAUACAAGAUGGCAUCAUGAGUCCGCAUGUUCACAUGAUUAAAGGUAUUCCGGUAGACGAUGGGGA
rnacentral:rRNA from 1 species